AGGGUAUAACUCAGUGGUAGAGUGCAUGCUUAGCAUGCACAAGAUUCUGGGUUCAAACCCCAGUACCUCUA
rnacentral:tRNA from 1 species